rnacentral:rRNA from 1 species
UGGGGAAUUUUGGACAAUGGGCGCAAGCCUGAUCCAGCAAUGCCGCGUGAGUGAAGAAGGCCUUCGGGUUGUAAAGCUCUUUUGUCAGGGAAGAAACGGCUGCUCUAAUACAGUUGGCUAAUGACGGUACCUGAAGAAUAAGCACCGGCUAACUACGUGCCAGCAGCCGCGGUAAUACGUAGGGUGCAAGCGUUAAUCGGAAUUACUGGGCGUAAAGCGUGCGCAGGCGGUUUUGUAAGUUUGUCGUGAAAUCCCCGGGCUCAACCUGGGAAUGGCGAUGAAGACUGCAAGGCUAGAGUUUGGCAGAGGGGGGUAGAAUUCCACGUGUAGCAGUGAAAUGCGUAGAUAUGUGGAGGAACACCGAUGGCGAAGGCAGCCCCCUGGGUCAAAACUGACGCUCAUGCACGAAAGCGUGGGGAGCAAACAGGAUUAGAUACCCUGGUAGUCCACGCCCUAAACGAUGUCUACUAGUUGUCGGGUCUUAAUUG